rnacentral:rRNA from 1 species
GACGAACGCUGGCGGCGUGCUUAACACAUGCAAGUCGAGCGGUAAGGCCCUUUGGGGUACACGAGCGGCGAACGGGUGAGUAACACGUGAGUAAUCUGCCUUUGGCUUGGGAAUAACUUCGGGAAAUCGGGGCUAAUGCCUGAUGUUUACUGUCUGCUGCAUGGUGGGUGGUGGAAAGAUUUUUUGGCCAGGGAUGAGCUCGCGGUCUAUCAGCUUGUUGGUGGGGUAAUGGCUACCAAGGCUUUGACGGGUAGCCGGCCUGAGAGGGUGUUCGGCCACACUGGGACUGAGACACGGCCCAGACUCCUACGGGAGGCAGCAGUGGGGAAUCUUGCGCAAUGGGCGAAAGCCUGACGCAGCGACGCCGCGUGAGGGAUGAC